rnacentral:lncRNA from 1 species
UGCCUGGCUGGAGGAGGGCUUUACACAUUUGUAUCUUAGUAGUAUGGGGGGCUGUCUAUCCUUAACCCGAGGGGCUGACUACAGGAGUAGUUUCAGGCUUGGGGAGAUGGGUGGAUUUGUUGACUUGGGGACUCAGGAAACUUGCCACCACAGCCAUGCACAGGGCUCAUGGCACAGUACUCCAUCCACGCCAAGGCAGGCAUUGCCUCUGUGGCUGUGCUUGGCGGGGUCUGGGUGGGGGCAGAGUGUCUCUGCUUGCUGAAGGAGGUGGUUGGCAGGGUGCCUACCUUCCUGGAAGCCUUGUGUGCCACCUCCUGCAGGAACCUACUCUUUGCCCCACCUGUUCCACCAAAUGUAAUUUUCCAUGGAAAGACAGAAGCAUGGCUUUCCCCCAUUGGUCGUAAUAGCCAAAAACUGGAAACAACCUAGAUGUUCUUGUUCUUCAAAGGGUGAAUGAUUAAACAAACUAUAAUACAUCUCACUCCUCAGUCCUUCCCAUCCAUAUAGUGUGGUGCAUGAAUGGGGAGGACCAAGGAGUGUUCGUAAAGGUUGGGGGGACUGAAGUAUGUGAUGCAUAAAUGGUGAGGGCUGGGGAGUGUUGUCUGUGGAUGUGGGAACUGAGGAAUAUGGUGUGUAGAUAGGGUGGACUGUGGAACCUAUUGCUCAGACAGAGAGAACUGAGGAAUCUGUUGUGUGAAUGGGGAGGACUGAGAAAUUUGGUGCAUGGGUGGGGAGGACACUGCAGUGUUAUUUGGUAAGACUUUCCUUCUUUCAUUUUUUUUUUUUAGAGACAGGGUCUUG